GGCUACAGAGAAGAAAAAGAAAUUGAAAAUUGGAUUUUGAUUUACUUGAAAUAACUACAUAGCACAACAAACUCAGAAAGGUUAAAAAAACUGUAAAUUCUCUUGCAGAUGAAAGAGCUCUUCAAAGGGAAACAUUUUGCCCAUUGGAAGAGGCAAAACAAAAAAUGGCUGAAGCAUUAAAAGGCAUCAAAAGUGCCAUUGUAGGGAUGUACAGAUGCUGAGCGGUGAGAAGGCGAAGAGUCCAGCUACAGCAGCAGCAGCAGCAGCAACGAGAGAGCGAGAGAGAAGACUGAAUAAGGCACUGAUUCUGCAGAGUGGGACCGUGCGAGAGAAGGAUCAAGAGGCAGGAGCCCAUGAAUAAUGAUCACGCAGAAGCUCAAGCAGAUUGGCUCCCAAGGUCCCCUGACAUGACUCGUGCAGAGCCAGAAUCUCUGAGCAUUAAAUAUUGAUUGGCCAAUGGUGCUGGAGUACAAAGUACCAGAAUGCAGUUUGAAAUGGAAAUCAGUGCUUCCCGGGCAGCUCCCCCCUUUUUUGGGGGCCUGGUAGUACAGUCCAAGUAGAGUGGAGCCUUCACCCAGAAGGCUCCCAGGAGCUGAGAACUGGGUCUGUGGCUACCUGGGAGUCAGGAGGCUUCACUUCACUCCUACAGUUUCAUUACACAAAUAGUCAUAAACAAGGGAGAGGGGCUUGGAGGACUGAAAAAUCUUCAUAACAUUCUGACUGUUGGAAACAACUGUUUAAACACUGUUUUUACUGGUUCAUCUUUUCUCUUUGCUUUUAACCCUGCCUGGGUGACCCCAUGUCUUCUAUGAUGGCAACUCAGAGAUGAACUGCAAUCUUGUCAUUUGUCUCCAGCACAGCAGGGCUCAGAUGUCUCUGGACCCUUGAAGAUCCUGCAGCAGAACAAGGCCUGAUGUUUUCUAGUCUUGGCACAGAAGGAAAGGCCUGCCUGGGCUGCUUGGGACUAGGACCAAGUAGUCAUGGGCCACCUGUGGACCUCAUGGAAGAGGACGAGAGGUAGCCUCCUGCACCUGUGUGCUGUCCAUCUGUUAACAGGGCACAACCAGGUUGACUGGUCACCCUGAAUAUUGGAGGAGGUAGAGUUGGGUGGAGGCCAUGCUGGCCUGGAGAUGUAAUAUUAAUUACCUGGUUUGAAACCUGAGUGACCUUUCCAGGUCUCUAGGAAGAAUCAUUUCCUUAGAUGCAAGCUUAGUAAAGAUAAAAGACAUGAUCUGGAGCAUGAUGUUUUUGAGAUCCAGAGACUGCAUUGCUAUAGGCUAAGUAUAUAUGUGUUCAAGUUUCUGGCUGAGAGUGUGGUGUGUGAGAAUCUCUGAGGCCAGUUGCAAAAGGUGACUUUUCAUUAUAAGUGAGGAAUUUAUGAAUUCAUCCCUUGUCACUCAACUAAUGUCAUUCAUCAAUACAUUUGUCCUCACUUGACUCACAUAAACACUGAGCACUUACCAUGUGCCACGCGUUUAGGAUACAGAAAUGAGAAAGACAUUAGGACUUGUUCUCAGGGAGCUUUUAAUCGCUGUUAGUAUAACACUUCUGUGACUUUACUGAACCUUCCUGCAGUCUAGCUCCAUUCAGAAACUGUUAUUUUGACAUCUGACAAUAGUCUUAGAUUCUCUAAUUCCAUUGCAUUGGUAGCUAAAAAAUAGCAUAGCACAUGGUUGAAAUCAUGAACAUGUACCUUAGCAAGUUCUUACUUUACAUAAAUGAUUAAAAUUUUUAUCAUGUGUGAAAUAAGUUCUGAGCAGUUUUCUAUCAAACUGCAUUUCAAAAUUCUUUCUGGUCUCAUGAAUAAUACACAGUUCUAAAUGCCUCAAACCAUUUGAAAAUAACAGGGUACUCUCCUUGGUGCUGAAAUAAAUUUCUUCACCUCUUACUAACUUGCAGACAUUCUAAACCCAUGCACAUCUGGGAACUGAGGCUGUUCUGACCUGCUGAGUCACAGGAAAAAAAAAGAUAAAGUGUAGAUCAAUAAAAUUAUUCCUUGAACGGGAAGAUUAGACAUUAUUUUUCCUGUCAUUAUAUAGGUCUGUGACUAUGACACAGCAAGGGAACAAUAUAGAAGUUGGAAGGGUCAGGAAAUAAAUAACCAUUUUUCUCCCUCUCUAUAGUCAUUUUCCAUUUUAAAUGUAGGAAUUGGUUUCCUCUGAGCAGAGUAGUUACCAGUCAGGAGAGGAAAGAUUUUCAGCAGGUCUAUGUGACUAAUGUCUUUAAAGUACAUAUUCUUUUCUCCACCACACCCUUUCCCCUCAAGUUAUGUGCCAUCUCUACACAUUCUUUAACUUCCUUGGAGAAAAAUGUCUUUAAGUCAGAGCACUAAUGUUUUUAACAACUACCAUUGGCAGUUGAACAAGAUCUAUUGCACUUUUGAUUGCUAUGAGUAAAUUGAGGCAAAACACAUUUUAUGGUCCAAUCUCCCCUUCUCUUGUGAACCUUACACUGGAGUGGUGUCAGCUGUGGCACUCAUUUCUUUCUGACUUUCUGGGUGCUAAGCACCUGAACUCAGAUAUGUAUGAUUUUCAAAUAACGUCAAGCAGAGGAGAGGGUAGGUUAGUGUGAUGUACUGUAGAAGGUAAAGAUAGCAAGCUAACAUCGAUGGGCUAAGAAAAAUGAAAUAAAUUCAAAUAUCUGAAUUAUAAUAAUUUAUUACUUUUUCUUUUUUGUCAAUUAUAUAUCUCAGCAUGAGA